rnacentral:rRNA from 1 species
GAUGAACGCUGGCGGCGUGCUUAACACAUGCAAGUCGAACGAGAAAUGGAGACGGACACCUUCGGGCGGAAGGCUUCAUUUCGAGUGGCGGACGGGUGAGUAACGCGUGGGUAACCUGCCUCAUACAGGGGGAUAACAGUUGGAAACGACUGUUAAUACCGCAUAAGACCACAGCACCGCAUGGUGCGGGGGUAAAAACUCCGGUGGUAUGAGAUGGACCCGCGUUCGAUUAGCCAGUUGGCGGGGUAACGGCCCACCAAAGCGACGAUCGAUAGCCGAUCUGAGAGGAUGACCGGCCACAUUGGGACUGAGGCACGGCCCAAACUCCUACGGGAGGCAGCAGUGGGGAAUAUUGCACAAUGGGGGAAACCCUGAUGCAGCGACGCCGCGUGAGUGAAGAAGUACUUCGGUAUGUAAAGCUCUAUCAGCAGGGAAGAAAAUGACGGUACCUGAGUAAGAAGCCCCGGCUAACUACGUG